UACAGGGGGUGCAAACGUUGCUCGGAAUCAUUGGGCGUAAAGCGCACGUAGGCGGUCUGUUAUGUCGGAUGUGAAAUCCCCGGGCUCAACCUGGGAACUGCGUUUGAAACUACAAGGCUAGAGUGUAGCAGAGGGGGGUGGAAUUCCACGUGUAGCAGUGAAAUGCGUAGAGAUGUGGAGGAACACCAGUGGCGAAGGCGGCUCUUUGGUCUGUAACUGACGCUGAGGCGCGAAAGCGUGGGGAGCGAACAGG
rnacentral:rRNA from 1 species